rnacentral:rRNA from 1 species
UGUAUAACUUAUAAAGUCUAGCCUGCCCACUGAUUGAUUUAAAGGGCCGCGGUAAUUUGACCGUGCGAAGGUAGCAUACUCAGUAGUCUUUUAAUUGAAGGCUUGAAUGAAAGGUUGGACGAGGGAUGAGCUGUCUCCUUUAUGUAAUUUGAAUUUAACUUUUGAGUGAAAAGGCUCAAAUUAUUUAGUGGGACGAUAAGACCCUAUAAAACUUUAUAUAAGUUUAAUUUGGCUUACAAUUUGAGUGAAAAGUAGCUUUAUUAGGCUUAUAUUUCGUUGGGGAGAUGUAGAUAUAAUGUGUAACUGUCUAUUUAAUUUAAUAAUUAUAAUUAGUGUGUGAUCCUUUUCUGUGGAUUAAAAGUAUAAGUUACUUUAGGGAUUACAGCGUGAUUUUCUUUUAGAGUUCUUAUCGACAAGAGUA